AACGAACGCUGGCGGCAUGCCUAACACAUGCAAGUCGAACGAGACCUUCGGGUCUAGUGGCGCACGGGUGCGUAACGCGUGGGAAUCUGCCCUUGGGUUCGGAAUAACUCGCCGAAAGGCGUGCUAAUACCGGAUGAUGUCGUAAGACCAAAGAUUUAUCGCCCAGGGAUGAGCCCGCGUAAGAUUAGGUAGUUGGUGAGGCAAAGGCUCACCAAGCCGACGAUCUUUAGCUGGUCUGAGAGGAUGAUCAGCCACACUGGGACUGAGACACGGCCCAG
rnacentral:rRNA from 1 species